rnacentral:misc_RNA from 1 species
GGUAACUCCAUGAUUAUUGAUCAAUCACAAUGCAACAAAAAGAAAGCCAGUAUAGCCUCUGCUUCUGCUCUAUUUUUCACAAUACCUUAAUAAUUAUCAGCCAUGAAAUUGGUAGACAAGAUCCAAUGCCCUUAAUCUGGUUCCAUAAGGAUCCAAACCGUUUAUUUCUCUAGCAUCCCUAUCCUCAAGUAACCUUCUUUCCUCUGCCAUGGACGAUGGCGAAAGCGGCCGCUUGGGCUUCCUAUUCUUGAUAGAACAAUCCCUCAUCUUCUCCUCCACCUUGUCAAUUGUUGUGUUAGAAUUCUCAUCAGCUCCAGCUUCAUAAUCACCAUGGCCUACUUGCAUGGGCUUGUCCCUGUCGUCAAGGGAUGGAGGAGGGAAGAGAGAGAAUUGGGUUUGGGAAAUUAAUGAAGAGAGAUGUUGGUGGGCUAGAUGGAGGGAGGAGUAGAUUUGGACGAGUUGGUCUGGGUGAUUGGUGGACGGGAUUUGUUUAGCCAUGAGGGUUGCUUGCUCUAAAGAAAGUAUAAGGUCAGGCAAUGGGUUUAGUGAUGGCGCUUCUGAUGCAAAACUGUUCAUUUUCUCUCUAUCAGACUCAGUCGGCUAACUUCAGAGUUCUUUAGCUGGUAACCUAUGUAGAGGAUGACCAGAAAAGUCCUCUCUGGCAAAAGUGAUCAUUUUAUUUUUCUAUUAAUGGAAGUUGUUGUGGGAA